UACGUAGGGGGCUAGCGUUGUCCGGAAUCAUUGGGCGUAAAGAGCGUGUAGGCGGCCCGGUAAGUCCGCUGUCAAAGUCAAAGGCUUAACCUUUGAAUGUCAGUGGAUACUGCCGGGCUAGAGUCCGGAAGAGGCGAGUGGAACUCCUGGUGUAGCGGUGGAAUGCGCAGAUAUCAGGAAGAACACCAACGGCGAAGGCAGCUCGCUAGGACGGUACUGACGCUGAGACGCGAAAGCGUGGGGAGCGAACAGG
rnacentral:rRNA from 1 species